rnacentral:rRNA from 1 species
CGCGUUUGGUAGCGGAGGACAU